AUUCAGAACGAGAACAUGAUAUUGAUAAUGUGACAUGAAUAUAAUCAUUGUUUUGUACUGGACCUACACACUGAGCGCUAGUUCACUAGAUACACCGAGCGCUGGUACACAAGAUACUAGUCCACACGAAGACCCGGUCGUUAACAUUCUCUUACUACUGAAUACUGUGUGUUAAGCGGUAAAACAGCAAAAUACUCGUUUUCACGUCUUGUGGUUUGACUCUGCCGGAUAUCGAACCAACAACCUCCUGAACUAGAGCCGAAUAUGGGACAAACGAGGCC
rnacentral:lncRNA from 1 species